GAGGGUCUAGCUCAGUGGUAGAGCACAUGCCUAGCAGGCAUGAGGUCCUGGGUUCAAUCCCCAGUCCCUCC
rnacentral:tRNA from 1 species